GUCUACCACCAUACCAUCCUGAAAGUGCCCCAUCUCAUUUGAUCUUGGAAGCUGAGCAGGGUUCGGCCUGGUGAGUAGUUGGAUGGGAAACAUGCUAGAUACGAAAAUGGAGAAUC
rnacentral:rRNA from 1 species